AUGACUCACAAGCGUCCACAGGAAAUUGUCCACACCAAACUAAUUCUCAAGGCUAAAUUUGAACGAGUCGUGUCUUCCCUCCUUUUUCAUUAUCGAGAAAAAUUCUUCAGUAUUUGCAUUCGUAUGUUUGCAUGCAACUCACCCGAACGUGAAAAAUCACAAAGCAUCUUUUUUGACACGUACAGUUCGAUAGGUAUAGGAUAGGUUCUUAUGAUCGUUUCAAAGUUUUGGUCUGAUAAAGUCAUUCAGAGAUAUAUGACGGGCCCUUUUUAGUUUUAAUUGGUCAAAACUUUGUGUUUGCUAAAAAGAUUCCUAUUUUUUAUUGUAUUUCAAUUGAUAAAGUUAAAAAUGUAAUAAAAAAUAUAGAAUAGGUAUACAGUUGCCGCGUGAUGAUUGAAUUGAAGGAAAGAUUUUGCUCUCUGUUCACGUACAAAAGUUUUUAAUUCUCAGAAAACUGUGGAAUGUUUGAUUCAAAUUACAAGUGUUUUAUACUUUUGUCAUAAAGUUCAAAAUAUUUAAAUUAUGCAGGCUAAAAUUACUCCAACUUUUACUGGUUGACACUUAUGCGAGCAUUUGGCGCGUAUAUGUAUUUUUUAUAUGUAUUUCUAAAUUUGAGUUUAAUUUGUUCUCAAUAAUUGUAUGGAUACUUAAUGAUUAAGGUAAAAAUUUGUCAGUGCAAUAUGUAAAUAAAAUUCAAUAAAUAUUUUGGAGGUUACCCUAAGAACGAUGUCAAACUGUCUUUUUUUUUAAAAUAUAAAUUUCCUCUUUUGUCAAAAUGCCGUUAAUACCUACACAUCAAUAAUUUGGCGAACCUAACACACAAUCAUAUUGAUCAGUUGUGCGACUGAAAAUAGAUUAAAAAACGUUGCCCAUUUCUUUGAAAAUAGGCACAUGUAUCUACUUUUCUUCAUAAAAGUUAAGGGAAUAUCUCCAAAUGAAACAUACUCUAAUAAAUAAAGAGAGGCGUUAAAAAUCUUUCAAAAGUUUAUCAUAGAAUUAUCAUCAUCACAAACAAAUGAAUAUAAUUAUUCACUGAUUGAAAAAUCAAGCAGUAAUUGGCAAACAUUGGAAAUAUAUAAUUUCGUUACGAAUCUGGUUUUGGUCAUCUUGAAGCGAUGAUAUCGACCAGUGAAAACAAUGUUCUUAUAAAGUAAGAAAUAAAAGAGCAGAAUCAAAAAUAUUAUACCGAUUAGUAUAUAUUGAAACAGAUCGUGGUAACUGAUACUUCCUAUACCGUGACCAAAUUGGUCUUGUUUUGCGAAGAAGGGAAAUCGCUCAUUUUAGUCAUCGUUCCUGGUUUGAGUAAGUCAUUUAUGUUCAUCCGAAGUGAAAAUUUGCACAGAAUUACUUCAUUCAAAAUCAUUCACCAUUGACAUAAAAUUUCACUGAAGUAAAUGGUAUCUCCCGUUGUAUCAGCUCAUCAUGUACUAAAAAUGGGCAUGGGUAAAUAGCAUAUGAAAUAAACAUAUUAUUUAUAUAACUUUCAUUCCUGGAAAGUAAGAAUAGAGCCUGAGCGACAGCUAAGAGCAGACUCAUUGAUAAAUGGUCAAUGAGAUUUGUGACCAGAUUCAUCAAAAUCUUGAUAAAAUAAGUGAUAAUCACAAUGAAAGCCUGCAACAUUCAUCAUCAUAGAGAAUUCAUGUAAUGUAUUCACUUAUUGAAAAAUUAUAUAGUUUGCGAGCAUCAGAAUUGUACAAUUUUGUCACGAGUAUUUUCGUUAUCUCUGGGAGAACUGGGGCAUUGUAUUACGCAUUUGUAUAAACAGAAGCAGGAAACAAUCAUUAUUAUGGAACCGAUGAUUAUACACAAUUGUUGAAGUAAACUCUCAGUCAUUGUAAUCUUCACAAUUAUUAUUUAUCACACACACAUCUAAUACACAUUCCAUAAUGGUAAUAUUAGUUUUGUUUGAAGAUUGAAUAUCGUCCAUCAUUAAGAAUGUGAUUGGAGUUCAUUAAAUAUUCCAAAUUCGCGUAGAAUUGCUUCAUCCAAAAAAUAUGCAUCACUGUAAAAAUAUCUCACUUAAGAUAAAGUCGCGUGCAAUACUGUUAGAUUUUAUACUAGGAAUAUGCGAUAUGCAAGUCACUUUUCAACAUAUUAUACUUCAUUCCACUUUCAUUGCUUAGAAGGAAACCGGAACCGAGAGCAGACCCAUUGAUAAACUGUCAUUUGAAGUGGGGAUCAGAUGUAUCAAAAUCUUGAUAAAAUAAUCACGAUGGAGUGCCGUGACCAAAAUUAUGUCUGGAAUUGACUUUCGGGAAGUCGUUAGUGAACAAUCUUACUCGAAUUAUCAGAAAUCUGUUAGCUUGUGUGCGGGUUUUUAUUUAUUUCUGGAUUUCCAAGAAAUAAACGCUCCUCAUUUAAGGAGAAAGGUAAGAUGCCGAGUAUUCGGAUUUUUUUAAAUAUCAUUUUAAGAGUUAAUGAAAAUGAUGAGGUGCAGAGUUUGACAUGAUUCUUAUCAAUGAAUUUGCCUCGAAUUAGUUAACUUCCUCACUUAUCCUCAUAUACUCUUUACUUUUUGAGGUAAGUAGUACUGCAUGAUCUGUUACAUUUGUACCUAAAAAAUUAACGCAGCAGAGACAGAAAAAAUAUUGCGAAUUAAAGAAGUUGAUCCAACUGCAAAUACAUCCAGCUGCUUACAGAAAUUAGCUCUGCAUGGAUUGGAAAAACAUGAAAACAAAUUAAAGAAUAUUUUAUGAAUGCUUUCAAAUUGUACAGUUUUCUCUGCAGCAAACGAUACGAAAUAUAUUCUUUCAGACAUUGAGAUAUGCCUAGAUCUUCAACUCCUUAGCGUAAUUGUAAUUGCACACUAGAAUUUAUUCAUCCAAUACUAUUGAUUUUUUUGGGUUUUUUGUCGAUUUUUUCAUUUAAUCAUUUAUUAUCAAAACGGCCUCAAGCUCUGGGUGUGUUUUCAAUUAUCAAAAUCGGCUUUACCAGUGCCAUUAAAUUAGAAGAGAAUAGUUUGCAUUCUGUGGAUUUGCCUUCUUCACCAGAUUUUCAGUCCCGUUCCUAGACUAAGUAAAUAUUCUAACCUCAUAUUUUUGAAUUUUAUAUUUUAACUAGCUGUAUACCCGCGCCUUGCGCAAUAUUUUGAUUACCUACAGCCCCUCAGGCAGUUUUAGUCACUUUAGUAAUCUCAUCAUUGCCUCUCAAAAAUAAAUCCAAUUGCACAACGCUCGAAGACGUAUUGCGCUCAAUCAUUUCAGGAGCGUCAAUUUGAAUUUCCCGCUUCAAAUUUGAAUAUUUCCUUUUCGCGGGCGCGGGCUGCAUUCUGAUAGGUCACCGUUGUUAGUUGGUGUUGGGUCACCCUAAGGCUGAUGAUUGAUGAACUUCGUCGCUGGCGUGUGGACAUAAUUUUUUCCGCCAUAUUGUUUUUUUACGGAAUUUGUAUCAGCGUUGGCUCAAGCCUCCGGCAAUUAGACUUUUAAUUAAAUUUAGGGACUGUGAUUGCGUUACAAAUGUGUCGUUGAAAUUAAUUUAAUGGUUACUUUAAGUUUCUACGCCCACCAAGUUUCAUAGUGAGUAUCCUUGCCAUAACGUAAGUAAGAUGCGAGAGUUGGAUGCUGAAAGUUCACAUGGGGGUAGGGGAGUGGGUUCUCCCUACGAGAUUUUAGGUUUUGUCACAACUUUUGCUGACUCUCGCAUCGAAAUUUUACAUUAGCACGGACGGAUUAAUCCUCUCUCGUCGCUCUAAUAGCUCCUCACUCUGAAUAGUCGCAUUUUGUGUGGCUGCGAAAACCCCUAACCUCUACCUCUGGUUCUUGGUGAAUAAGUAGCGGGUCCUUCAACACACUUAUUUAUGAUCAUUUCCACAAUUAUGGCAUGAGAAGACGAAUGUAACAAUCGAGUUGCUGCAAGUGCUAUGGCAAUGUUUGAUUUUAUAGCUUCUAAGAAGCAAAGCGAAAUUGGUGAUUUCCAAACACGCUACCAAUUUGGAACCACUGAUUUUAGAAGCUCCAUAGGUCAUUCGAAAGCUCCAUAUUUAGAAUUUUCAUCGGUCUGCUGUGAGGCUGUGAAAUUUACUACGGUCGUUCCUCUCAUUUUGUAGCAGUGAGUCUUUGAGAUUAUCUUCUCUGUAAGUAGUUUAAUCAACAUGCUUGUUUGCAUGAUGCUGGAUAAGCCUUUGGUCUUCACACUGAGCUGAACCUCUCCUUGACAGUCAAGAUUCAAUAUAGUGGUUUACAGGGCAGAGAGCGAUCUGUAAAAGGGUGGUCAAUCUAGGAUAGUUGAUUUAUAUGUAAUGACGAGAAUAUACAAUCUUCACUCUUAUUGUUUUGUUGGCAAGGAGAAAAGUACCUAAAUCCCUCAUGUUUCUUCAUAGACGUUCAUUUUCUAACUAUUCAGCGCAACAAUUUUUAUGGCUCUUCGCAAUGCCAUCCCCAGCAAAAGAAGUUUGAACCAAAAUUUUUAUCGAAUGACACGAGCUUUGUUGAAGAAUUUCUCAAAGAAAUAAUGGAUUCGUCAACAAACCGAGAGAGAUAGUUGGCUCCUACCAGAAAAAUUUUUCAGCAAUGGGCAACUAAAGUGCUGACUGCCCUGUUAGAGUUUUGUUCACCUACCAUAUGCUCUCAUGUGCUCCCUCCAGAUCUGCGAUUUCCUUAAGAAAUCCACUACAGAGGUGUGGUCAGUUUAUAAAAAAAAACAAUUACCAUAACUCCGUAAAUGCCAUUGACUCUUUAUGACCACUUAAAACUUGACCAGUAGCAUUUACUUUUUUUGUAGUAGUAAGUACUAUUCUCUAAGGCAUUGAAAGAUACGCUAUUGAAUCUUGAGUUGUUGAUAAGUCUAGUUGAAUUGUUUCAUGCAAGCAGCAGUAGGUAACCUAUCGCAGUAACUUUUUUGCCAGUGGAAACUAAAGAGUUGAGCCAUGAUUAGAUACCCCUCAAUACUUUAAGUACUAA
rnacentral:lncRNA from 1 species